AGCUUUUGAAGAACACCUGGCAUGGGGGGGUGGGCGUACCCAGCUCAAGUGCUCGGAUGAUAAGUGUCCUCUGUCACAGACGCCCAGACCCUUCCUUCUUGUUUUUGUUUUGAAAGAAGGACACAAUGGAAAGAAGUGUGAAAGGUGAAGCACAGUGACUCCCCUGAACGUCAGGAUGAGGAUGAAGAUGGAAAGGACAGCACCGGAAAUAUCAGCAAUACUACUGUAAAACUGUUGUACGGCGGCAGGUGGCGGCUACACUUAUCCUGGGAGAGGACCAGCUGGACCUGACAAAGAGAACACAAGACACAAGUGGGAAGCCAGUGCCGGAGGUCACCACAGCCCCCAACACACGAAGAACAAGAUCCACAGGGGAGACCUCGGAGGCCUGGUGCGGUCGGGGUUCGCUGGGACCACCUCACCAAGCCCACGCGGAGGGAAGAGAACCCAUGCCACCCAGCCAGAGACUGGGAGCAGCUGUCAUGGAGAACAAAGGCCCAGGGUCAGGUACUGAGUGACAAUGGCGGACACACCAUGUGUCCUGAAGACAUCCAACACAGAACUGAGGCUUCAGGAGUAAGCUUUUAAAAAGACAAAAGAUG